rnacentral:rRNA from 1 species
ACAUGCCUAUAGCAUAAUGUUAAUGCACCAGAUCUCAUUAGAACUCCGAAGUUAAGCACGCUUAGGAUAUAGAAGUAUUGGGAUGGGUGAUCGCGUGAGAAGUCCUAGUGUUUUACAUGCC